rnacentral:lncRNA from 1 species
AAAAGUGAAAUGAUCAGAUUUUGAGAGCUUUCUCUUAACCAAUGGAUUAAUUAUCUUGAUGGAUUAAUAAUAAUUUGAAUAGAUUACUGGGUGGUAACUAUAGGCUGGUAGGGUAUAGUUAGUGGAAGUAUGUCACCAGGGGCAUCUCUUGGGAAAUAUACAUCUUGCUCUUAGUUCCUGGUAUUCUUUCUCUGCUUUCUGGCUGUCCUGAGCUGACAGCUUUCCUCUACCACAUCCUCCCACCAAGAUGUUCCAUCAUUACUCAGGCCCGAGUAAUAGAGUUGGUGAACCAUGGACUGAACCUUUGAAACCACAACCCCCCAAAAAACUUUUCCUCUUCUCAGCUGUUCUUGUCAGGUACCUCAUUCACAGCAACAAAAAGUUGACUAACACACCCACUGUACCAACUUGCCCAACAUCGUGACCCACAGGUGUAGGACCUCUAAAUGAAGACCCUGGACAGCAGACUUCUUAAGGAGUGCUGGCAAUUCAGGGUACGUAAGAUUGGUACUGCACAUGGGACUGCAAAAUGCCAAGAAACUUAGAGCACAUAAUAAGAGGAGCUUGAUAGAGGUUUCAAAAACGACAGUCUAAAAAUUUUAUAAGACACGACCAAUAUGGAGUUGUGAAGCUAAAAUAAACUUUUCUGAAUUUUAUAAAGUAAACACCCAACUUUGAUUCAUCAUGCUAAAAGAAAGAUUGAACCAUCAUUCUGUUCUCUCAAAAGAAAAUGAUUUUACAACAAUUAUUAUCAAAGAGGUGGUAGGUGAAUAAACACAAGAAACACAAAAAGAAACUUAAUUAAUAUGCACAAUAUAAUUAUCAGGCAGCUAAUUAAUAAGCACCAUAUAAUUUUUCUGGGUUUUGAAAAAUCUUUAAUUUAUGAUUCAGUUCCUUCUUAUAAAGACGUAUUCACUUUCUUAAUUAUCCAUUAAUAAAUUCUGUAGUUUUUAAAGGUGACUGCCCAACUUAAAUAAACUUCAGGCUUCACAAAACCAGGCACCCCUCAGGGGCAUUGGUUGAUACUGGGGAUAGAAUAGUCAAGACCGGCCCUCAAAUCCAAGGAUUUCACAGGCACUGGACCAGACUGAUACAAACCAGAGGGUCACUAGGAAGCGCAGGGCCUUCACCUCUCUCCCUAUUUCCAAUUCAUUAUUUUUUUUUGUUUGGACAUGACACUUUGGGAAGCUCAGUACAGCCUGGUUCCCUCCCAGAGCCUCCAGCCCCACUUCUCCCUCUCACGUUGGAGGCAUUCUUGGAUUCCCCUCCUGCCCACACCCAAGUCUCAGAACUUAUUCUACUUCAUCAUGUAAAACACUUCUGACCUGUUUUUGACUGCACUAGGGAAUUCUGGUUUUGUCCUCUGGGUUUUCUUGUUCAUACUUAUAGAGAAGUCAUAAAAUUAUUUUUCCAAACAGAGUUCUUUCCAAAAGAGGAAUUAGGACAUCUGCUUCAAAUAAAAGUUUAUUUCUUCCUCACUUCAUUUAUCCCAGUCUCCUUCUUCCUUUCCCUCAUUCACCCUGUGAGCGAUGUUUGCCUGCGUAGCUUUGAUAAAAUGAUUAGGAAAUUGAGAACACAUAGAAAAAUGUAAAAGAAAUAUGAUUUCAAGGACUACGAGAAAAACCAGCUCUCUUUGAUCCUGCCUAUGUGUGCCGCUGGUCUGGGUCCUGUUGGAGAGAUGGAGAAGAGAG